rnacentral:ncRNA from 1 species
AUAACCGCAAUGAAAAGAUGAGUAAUUGAUGGUCGCCUUCUCCAGAGAACUGCGGAUGAUGGGAAGCAGCGUUGGCUAAGUCAGUGAAGAUGGUCUUGGAGCGAUGAAAGUUGUGAGCUAUUUGUAAGCAGCUUACGGGUUGGUGUACGUUAUAACACUUGGGUAUUCCCUUGGAGUACUUGUAGAGAGUUUGGCUGUGAGGUCAAGCUAAAAUAGGGUGGUAACACGCUAUCGAUGUCUAAUCAUUACGCGUCCCUAGA